GAUGAACGCUGGCGGGCGUGCCUAAUAACAUGCAAGUCGAACGAGUUUCGACAUUUACGGAAGAUGCUUGCAUCGGAAGAAAAUGUUGAGACGAGUGGCGGACGGGUGAGUAACACGUGGGUAACCUACCCUAAAGUGGGGGAUAACAUUUGGAAACAGAUGCUAAUACCGCAUAACAAUCAAAACCGCAUGGUUUUGAUUUGAAAGAUGGUUUCGGCUAUCACUUUUGGAUGGACCCGCGGCGUAUUAGUUAGUUGGUGAGGUAACGGCUCACCAAGACAUUGAUACGUAGCCGACCUGAGAGGGUAAUCGGCCACAUUGGGACUGAGACACGGCCCAAACUCCUACGGGAGGCAGCAGUAGGGAAUCUUCCACAAUGGACGAAAGUCUGAUGGAGCAACGCCGCGUGAGUGAAGAAGGUUUUCGGAUCGUAAAACUCUGUUAUUGGAGAAGAACGUACUUGGUAGUAACUGG
rnacentral:rRNA from 1 species